GACGAACGCUGGCGGCGUGCUUAACACAUGCAAGUCGAGCGGUAAGGCUCCUUCGGGAGUACACGAGCGGCGAACGGGUGAGUAACACGUGAGUAACCUGCCCCAUUCAUCGGAAUAACCAGUGGAAACGCUGGCUAAUGCCGAAUACGACCACCGAAGGCAUCUUCUGGUGGUGGAAAGCUCCGGCGGAAUGGGAUGGACUCGCGGCCUAUCAGCUUGUUGGUGAGGUAACGGCUCACCAAGGCGACGACGGGUAGCCGGCCUGAGAGGGUGACCGGCCACACUGGGACUGAGACACGGCCCAGACUCCUACGGGAGGCAGCAGUGGGGAAUAUUGGACAAUGGGCGAAAGCCUGAUCCAGCAACGCCGCGUGAGGGAUGACGGCCUUCGGGUUGUAAACCUCUUUCAGCAGGGACGAAGCGAAAGUGACGGUACCUGCAGAAGAAGGACCGGCCAACUACGUG
rnacentral:rRNA from 1 species